rnacentral:pre_miRNA from 1 species
AUUCCUUGCCGGAGCUGGACUACAGGUAAAAGUUAAUUCAGAGAUACUAUUGUUGCAAAAUAUAACUUUCUUGUACUGAAAUUAGUUAGGCUUAGGCGGCAUAAACCUUUUCUACACAUUUGACUCAAUGAAUUUUUUAAGGGAUUUAAAGAGCAACCAUUCUAUUUUCUUGAAUUACAUGCCAAUAUUGAGAAAUAAGUAGAGUACUUACCUAGAAUUAUGAUUACACUAGUGAGUAGCCAGCCGCACGCCUCUCUCUUUAACUUCUGAGGAAUAGUUUUUGCAAAGAA